UCUCUCUCUCUCUCUCUCUGAAAUGAGUAUUACAGCCACUGGCAGACCAAAAUCAGUAUUGGGUAUUGUUUAUAUAAAAGUGAAAAAGAGCUGGAGAUGAAAAAAGCAGUACACAUAGAGAAAAGGGUUCUAGCUUCUUUCUCUCCCCUACCUAACCAACACACAUAACAGUAGAAGCCCUGAAGAUUACAUAAUAAUAAUAAAAAAAUGGAGGAAAUGAUGAAAAUGGUGAUGAUACGAUCAAUAUGAGUGAGAGUAGUACAGCAGUGAGAGAGAAUUUAAUGUGAGGAGCUGUACCAUUGUGCCCCCAAUUAGGGUUUGCGGGCAAAAG
rnacentral:misc_RNA from 1 species